rfam:Nicotiana attenuata strain TT chromosome 2, whole genome shotgun sequence.
UGGACAGAUUAUUGUAUUCGACUGUAUUCACGGCGUAAAACAGAAAAUUACACUGUUUUUUUAAACGGAAAGUGAAUCAAUUAACAUAAUAGACUCCU